GCAGGGAUCGCAUAAUCUGGUAUUGCACCGGUCUCGAAAACCGGACCUUUAUAGGUGUCUGGGUUCAAAUCCCAGUCCCUGCG
rnacentral:tRNA from 1 species